rnacentral:rRNA from 1 species
GGUAGCCUGCGAUAAGCUUCGGGGAGUCGGCAAACAGACUUUGAUCCGGAGAUCUCUGAAUGGGGGAACCCACCCAGCAUAAGCUGGGUAUCUUGUACUGAAUACAUAGGUGCAAGAGGCGAACCAGGGGAACUGAAACAUCUAAGUACCCUGAGGAAAAGAAAUCAACCGAGAUUCCCUUAGUAGUGGCGAGCGAACGGGGACUAGCCCUUAAGUGGCUUUGAGAUUAGCGGAACGCUCUGGAAAGUGCGGCCAUAGUGGGUGAUAGCCCUGUACGCGAAAAUCUCUUAGUCAUGAAAUCGAGUAGGACGGAGCACGAGAAACUUUGUCUGAAUAUGGGGGGACCAUCCUCCAAGGCUAAAUACUACUGACUGACCGAUAGUGAACCAGUACCGUGAGGGAAAGGCGAAAAGAACCCCGGAGAGGGGAGUGAAAUAGAUCCUGAAACCGUAUGCGUACAAGCAGUGGGAGCCUACUUUGUUAGGUGACUGCGUACCUUUUGUAUAAUGGGUCAGCGACUUAUAUUCAGUGGCGAGCUUAACCGAAUAGGGGAGGCGUAGCGAAAGCGAGUGUUAAUAGCGCGUUUAGUCGCUGGGUAUAGACCCGAAACCGGGCGAUCUAUCCAUGGGCAGGUUGAAGGUUAGGUAAC